AACGACAUAAGUAUAAGUAAUACAUCACUAUGCACUUUUAAUAACAACAAAGUAAGGGAAGAGAUAGAUAAAAAUCUACCGUAUGAAGAUAAGGAUAAUAAAAUUUAUAUUAAAGAAUUAGAUGGUAAAACAGGAGGAGAAGCCAUAAUGAAUUUAUUAGGUUUGAAUAAACCUAAUGAAAAAAAAAAAAGAGUAGAUGAAAAAGUAAAGAAGAAAAAAAAGACAGGUAAUAAUAACAAUUUGUUAAAAGAAUGUGUUAAUAAUGAUAUUGGUGUUACAUCUGUUGUUACUUACCAUGAUAUGGCUAAUGGUAGUAUGUAUAUGGGUGGAGAUAAUUUUACAAAUAGUGUGAAUAUGAACUGUAGUAGUAGUAGUAGUAGUAGCAGUAGUAGUAGUAGUAGUAGUAGUAGUAUCACUAUUAGUAGUAAUACCUUUACUACUACCAACUAUACCAACAAUAUUAACAAUAUUAACAGUAUUAACAAUAUUAACAAUAUUAGUAGUAUUAACAAUAAUAACAAUAUUAAUAGUAUGGAUAAUAGCCAAUGGAAGAAUAACAAUAUAGUUAAUAACAUAAACACACAUCGCAAUGAAAAGAAUGAUAAAUAUAACAUGGACAGUAUUAAAAAUGAAGAUUAUAAUAUAAUAAGCAAUAUAAAUAGUAAGAGUAAGAGUAAGAGUAGUAGAAAUAGAAUAAACAAUGACAGUUAUAACAUAAAUGGUAACAUAGUAGGUAACUAUACUACUAAUAGUAUACGGGUUAAUAAUAUACAAACGAAUAAUAUGCACACAAAUAAUAGUAGUAGUAGUAGUAAUAAUAACAAUGAUGAAUUUGUUAUGAAUAAUCACGACAUAAAUAGAAAACAAAAUAAUGUACCUGACGAAUAUCAGAACUUUUUGUAUGAAAAUUUGUUUGGUAAAAAUAUUAAUUUAUUAAAUAACAUGAAUAUGAAUAGCAUCCAUCACAUGAACAACAUGCAUAAUGUGAACGAUGUUCAUAAGAAUAUGAAUUAUAACAACGUUAAUCAUAAUAUCGUACAUAAUGUAAACGACAUAGACCACGAAAGAGUCAUGUCUAACUCAUUGUUAAAUAUCAUCAAAGCAAAUGCUUCAAAUAACAUGGAAAAUUCUCAACAUAUUCCUGAACAUGUUCAUAUUAUUAAUAACAAUCAUAACAAUAAUAAUAAUAACAAUAAUA
rnacentral:lncRNA from 1 species